GGUCUGGUGGUCUAGUGGUAUGAUUCUCGCUUAGGGUUAACCCUGAACACAGGUUGCGAGAGGUCCCGGGUUCAAUCCCCGGCCAGACCC